AUUGAACGCUGGCGGCAGGCCUAACACAUGCAAGUCGAGCGGAUGAAGGGAGCUUGCUCCUGGAUUCAGCGGCGGACGGGUGAGUAAUGCCUAGGAAUCUGCCUGGUAGUGGGGGAUAACGUCCGGAAACGGGCGCUAAUACCGCAUACGUCCUGAGGGAGAAAGUGGGGGAUCUUCGGACCUCACGCUAUCAGAUGAGCCUAGGUCGGAUUAGCUAGUUGGUGGGGUAAAGGCCUACCAAGGCGACGAUCCGUAACUGGUCUGAGAGGAUGAUCAGUCACACUGGAACUGAGACACGGUCCAGACUCCUACGGGAGGCAGCAGUGGGGAAUAUUGGACAAUGGGCGAAAGCCUGAUCCAGCCAUGCCGCGUGUGUGAAGAAGGUCUUCGGAUUGUAAAGCACUUUAAGUUGGGAGGAAGGGCAGUAAGUUAAUACCUUGCUGUUUUGACGUUACCAGCAGAAGAAGCACCGGCUAACUUCGUG
rnacentral:rRNA from 1 species